rnacentral:rRNA from 1 species
CCUACGGGAGGCAGCAGUGAGGAAUAUUGGGCAAUGGCCGUAAGGCUGAACCAGCCAAGUCGCGUGAAGGAAGAAGGAUCUAUGGUUUUUAAACUUCUUUUAUAGGGGAAUAAAGGUAUCCACGUGUGGAUAUUUGCAUGUACCCUAUGAAUAAGCAUCGGCUCACUCCGUGCCAGCAGCCGCGGUAAUACGGGGGAUGCAAGCGUUGUCCGGAUUUAUUGGGUUUAAAGGGUGCGGAGGCUGUGAGGUAAGGCAGCGGUGGAAUGCCCACGCUCAACGGGUUGAAGUGCCAUUGAUACUGGCUUGCUGGAAUGCUGAUGACGUGAGAGGAAUGUGUGGUGUAGCGGUGAAAUGCAUAGAUAUCACACAGAACACCGAUUGCGAAGGCAUCUUACGAGUCAGCAAUUGACGCUGAGGCACGAAAGCGUGGGUAGCAAACAGGAUUAGAUACCCUUGUAGUC